GCUGCAGGAAUUCCCAAUACUAUCGGUACGGGUUGUGGGAGCAAGAGCCCGGAGAUGGAUUCUGAGACACGAAUCCAGGCCCUACGGGGCGCAGCAGGCGCGAAAACUUUACAAUGCAGGCAACUGUGAUAAGGGAACCCCGAGUGCCCGUAUGGACGGGCUGUUCAGGUGCUUAAAAACCACCUGGAGAAAGGGCCGGGCAAGACCGGUGCCAGCCGCCGCGGUAAUACCGGCGGCUCGAGUGGUGGCCACUAUUACUGGGCUUAAAGCGUCCGUAGCUUGGUCGUUAAGCCUCUGGGGAAAUCUUCCGGCUUAACCGGAAGGCGUCUCAGGGGAACUGGCGACCUAGGGAUCGGGAGAGGUGAGAGGUACUCUGGGGGUAGGAGUGAAAUCCUGUAAUCCUCAGGGGACCACCUGUGGCGAAGGCGUCUCACCAGAACGACUCCGACAGUGAGGGACGAAAGCUGGGGGAGCAAACCGGAUUAGAUACCCGGGUAGUCCCAGCCGUAAACAAUGCGC
rnacentral:rRNA from 1 species